rfam:Mumia flava strain MTSC 201 Contig93, whole genome shotgun sequence.
AUCAAGCAUCCAGAGUCGGAUUCUCCGACGCCAACCUGCCCUCCCGGGCAAGGUGGACGCCUCCAAGGCGAUGCGGCCGAUUUACGGCAACGAAACGGGAGCAG